GCGCAGCAGGCGCGAAACUUCACAAUGUGCGAAAGCACGAUGAGGGAAUCCCAAGUGCUUGCUCGUAAGAGUAAGCUGUUUCUCUGUCUAAAACGCAGAGAGAGUAAGGGCUGGGUAAGACGGGUGCCAGCCGCCGCGGUAAUACCUGCAGCUCGAGUGGUGGCCGCUAUUAUUGGGCCUAAAACGUCCGUAGCCGGUUUAUUAAAUGCCUGGGUAAAUCGGACCGCUUAACGGUUCGAAUUCCGGGUAGACUGAUAAACUUGAGACCGGGAGAAGCUAGAGGUACUCCUGGGGUAGAGGUGAAAUUCUGUAAUCCUAGGGGGACCACCAGUGGCGAAGGCGUCUAGCUAGAACGGGUCUGACGGUGAGGGACGAAGCCCUGGGGCGCAAACGGGGAUUAGAUA
rnacentral:rRNA from 1 species